UAGGGAAUCUUCCGCAAUGGACGCAAGUCUGACGGAGCAACGCCGCGUGAGUGAAGAAGGAUUUCGGUUCGUAAAACUCUGUUGUUAGAGAAGAACAGCGCAUAGAGUAACUGUUAUGCGUGUGACGGUAUCUAACCAGAAAGCCACGGCUAACUACGUACCAGCAGCCGCGGUAAUACGUAGGUGGCAAGCGUUGUCCGGAUUUAUUGGGCGUAAAGCGAGCGCAGGCGGUCAAUUAAGUCUGAUGUGAACGCCCCCGGCUCAACCGGGGAGGGUCAUUGGAAACUGGUUGACUUGAGUGCAGAAGAGGAGAGUGGAAUUCCAUGUGUAGCGGUGAAAUGCGUAGAUAUAUGGAGGAACACCAGUGGCGAAGGCGACUCUCUGGUCUGUAACUGACGCUGAGGCUCGAAAGCGUGGGUAGCAAACAGG
rnacentral:rRNA from 1 species